UUAGACGUGUGCGUGGACCAGAGCUAUGUGGGACCUGAAAGGAUCUCGGUACUCAUAUCUCCUAUCUCACAUCUAAAAAAAACUUUAGGUGCCUAUAUCGGCGGUGUCUACCUCUUCCCAUUCCGAACAGAGCAGUCAAGCCCGCCAGAGCCGAUGGUAUUGCCGUAACAGGUGGGAGAGUAGGUCGGUGCCUUUU
rnacentral:rRNA from 1 species